rnacentral:rRNA from 1 species
ACGUAGGUGGCAAGCGUUGUCCGGAUUUACUGGGCGUAAAGCGCGCGCAGGCGGGUUGGUCAGUCUGGGGUGAAAUCUCACGGCUCAACCGUGAGGGGUCCCUGGAUACUGCCGGCCUUGAGGGGCUCAGAGGAGAGUGGAAUUCCGGGUGUAGUGGUGGAAUGCGUAGAUAUCCGGAGGAACACCAGCGGCGAAAGCGGCUCUCUGGGGGCAACCUGACGCUGAGGCGCGAAAGCGUGGGGAGCGAACCGGA